AACGAACGCUGGCGGCAGGCCUAACACAUGCAAGUCGAGCGGGGGAGCAAUCCCUAGCGGCGGACGGGUUAGUAACGCGUGGGAACAUACCCUUUGGUACGGAAUAGCCUCGGGAAACUGAGAGUAAUACCGUAUGUGCCCUUCGGGGGAAAGAUUUAUCGCCAAAGGAUUGGCCCGCGUUGGAUUAGGUAGUUGGUGGGGUAAUGGCCUACCAAGCCUACGAUCCAUAGCUGGUUUGAGAGGAUGAUCAGCAACACUGGGACUGAGACACGGCCCAGACUCCUACGGGAGGCAGCAGUGGGAAUCUUAGACAAUGGGCGCAAGCCUGAUCUAGCCAUGCCGCGUGAGCGAUGAAGGCCUUAGGGUUGUAAAGCUCUUUACCCGAGAUGAUAAUGACAGUAUCGGGAGAAUAAGCUCCGGCUAACUCCGUGCCAGCAGCCGCGGUAAAGUGACUAC
rnacentral:rRNA from 1 species